CCUACGGGAGGCAGCAGUGAGGAAUAUUGGUCAAUGGGCGGAAGCCUGAACCAGCCAAGUAGCGUGCGGGAUGAAGGCCCUACGGGUCGUAAACCGCUUUUGCAUGGGGAUAACACCCUCCACUUGUGGAGGUCUGCAGGUACCGUGCGAAUAAGGGCCGGCUAAUUCCGUGCCAGCAGCCGCGGUAAUACGGAAGGCCCGAGCGUUAUCCGGAUUCAUUGGGCUUAAAGGGAGCGUAGGCGGGCGUUCAAGUCAGCUGUAAAAGCGCGCGGCUCAACCGCGCCCCGCAGUUGAAACUGGACGCCUUGAGUUCACAACAGGCAGGCGGAAUUCGUGGUGUAGCGGUGAAAUGCAUAGAUAUCACGAGGAACCCCGAUUGCGAAGGCAGCCUGCCGGGGUGCGACUGACGCUGAGGCUCGAAGGUGCGGGUAUCAAACAGGAUUAGAUACCCCAGUAGUC
rnacentral:rRNA from 1 species